GAUGAACGCUAGCUACAGGCUUAACACAUGCAAGUCGAGGGGUAACGAGAGGGAAGCUUGCUUUCCUUGUCGACGUCCGGCGCACGGGUGAGUAACGCGUAUCCAACCUGCCCCCAACUAAGGAAUAACCUUGCGAAAGUAAGACUAAUACCCUAUAAUUUCCUCAGAUGACAUCUGACGAGGAAUAAAGAUUUAUCGGUUGUGGAUGGGGAUGCGUCUGAUUAGCUUGUUGGCGGGGUAACGGCCCACCAAGGCAACGAUCAGUAGGGGUUCUGAGAGGAAGGUCCCCCACAUUGGAACUGAGACACGGUCCAAACUCCUACGGGAGGCAGCAGUGAGGAAUAUUGGUCAAUGGGCGGAAGCCUGAACCAGCCAAGUAGCGUGCAGGAUGACGGCCCUAUGGGUUGUAAACUGCUUUUAUACAGGAAUAAAGUUAGCCACGUGUGGUUAUUUGUAGGUACUGUAUGAAAAAGGACCGGCUAAUUCCGUGCCAGCCGCCGCCGUAAAAC
rnacentral:rRNA from 1 species